rnacentral:lncRNA from 1 species
AAAAGCCUAGAAGUAGUGCCUAUAGCGAGAGUAACCAUAAUUACCUUUGAUAGAGGAUGGAAAAAAAGCUCAGAAAAUACUACUGACGGCUGGCAAUAGUCUGUUUCUGUCUGUGACGAUGCGGCAGCGACCUGUCGCUGAUCCCUCCAAGCCCUCAAACACGGUAGUGACACCAAAGGAUCCCGACCACAGCCCGGCGAGUCUGGGGCAGUCAGGCACCUGUCGGACACCUCCGCCACCUCCGCCAAGAACUCCAGGGGUCUGCGCUACUUCGUGUCCACGGACCUCCCUCAUCUUCCGCCGAGACAAAGGUCACGAGUGUACUGUUCAGUGAGAUUUCACCAACUGAGUCCACUGCGGCAUGAAGCCCCUAUGUCUAAAACUGAGAACACAGUCAACGUCACAGAUGCCUUGCUGCACAGUUCCAUCACAAGAGGGACCUCUGUAGAAGACAGAGCUAUGUACAUCACUUUCACCUCCUCUGUACUAAAUGUAACCAAACAUCCCAAACUCUUGAAAUCUUUUAAAUUCCAUGUUCUUGUGGAUUUAUCUGUAUUUUUCAUUUUGUCUAUGAUAUAGUUCCAUUGCAUUAAUAUCAAUUGAUCUGGAAAUUCUUUUCUUGAUGUGCAUGAGGGUGGUUGUCUUACUUUCUCAUUGCUGGGAGAUAAUAUCUAACACAUAAUAUCUAAUCAAAGGAAGAAAGGUUUCUUUUAGCUCACAGUUUGUAGAGGUUUCAUUCGGUCCAUAGUGGGCUGGUUCCAAUGCUGGGCAGGGUGGCAGAGGAGAAAUAACAGUUCAUGGCAUGGCAGGGAGGAGGCAGCAUGAGUCUUCCUUUCCCCUUUAUUCUAUCCAGGGUAUAAGCCUAUUGAUUGGUGCCAACAUCCAGUGUGGACCUUCCCGUUAUCCACUCAAAACUAUGCUAACUCAAUCAGUGAACUAAUUUAGUUAUCACACACCUUUAAUCCAUGUUCACACAGCCUAGAUCCAACCACUUCUGAAAAGCC